rnacentral:rRNA from 1 species
GUGGGGAAUAUUGCACAAUGGAGGGAACUCUGAUGCAGCGACGCCGCGUGAACGAAGAAGGCUUUCGAGUCGUAAAGUUCUUUUAUAUGGGAAGAUAAUGACGGUACCAUAAGAAAAAGCCCCGGCUAACUACGUGCCAGCAGCCGCGGUAAUACGUAGGGGGCUAGCGUUGUCCGGAAUCACUGGGCGUAAAGGGUUCGCAGGCGGAAAUGCAAGUCAGGUGUAAAAGGCAGUAGCUUAACUACUGUAAGCAUUUGAAACUGCAUAUCUUGAGAAGAGUAGAGGUAAGUGGAAUUUUUAGUGUAGCGGUGAAAUGCGUAGAUAUUAAAAAGAAUACCGGUGGCGAAGGCGACUUACUGGGCUCAUUCUGACGCUGAGGAACGAAAGCGUGGGUAGCAAACAGGAUUAGAAACCCUUGUAGUCC